CUUGAAUCCAGAAUUUUUUUAUCCAAACAAGAUGAGAAUUGAGCAUGAUGAAUAAGUGAAUUCAGGAUUGCUUUCGUGCAUUCAUAAAAUGAAACGAGAUUCAUUAAAAGUUGACAUGAUUAUUGAUGAAAUUGAGAAGUACAAGGUAGCUACAAGGACGUUUAGUUAUCUUUCUGCUAUUAGAGGAAGAACAACUAAAUCUCCAGGUUAUUAAUUUA
rnacentral:misc_RNA from 1 species